rnacentral:rRNA from 1 species
ACUACGAUACCCUCGGGAAACUGAGACUAAUAGUAGAUACGGUACGCCCGCUGGAAUGCGGCGUACUCUAAACGUUCCGACGCCGAAGGAUGUGGCUACGGCCGAUUAGGUAGACGGUGGGGUAACGGCCCACCGUGCCGAUAAUCGGUACGGGUCAUGAGAGUGAGAACCCGGAGACGGAAUCUGAGACAAGAUUCCGGGCCCUACGGGGCGCAGCAGGCGCGAAACCUUUACACUGCACGCCAGUGCGAUAAGGGGAUCCCAAGUGCGUAGGCAUAGAGCCUACGCUUUUGUACACCCUAGGGAGGUGUCCGAAUAAGGGUUGGGCAAGACCGGUGCCAGCCGCCGCGGUAAUACCGGCAGCCCGAGUGAUGGCCGAUCUUAUUGGGCCUAAAGCGUCCGUAGCUGGCCGCGCAAGUCCAUCGGGAAAUCCACCCGCUCAACGGGUGGACGUCCGGUGGAAACUGCACGGCUUGGGACCGGAAGGCGCGACGGGUACGUCCGGGGUAGGAGUGAAAUCCCGUAAUCCUGGACGGACCGCCGAUGGCGAAAGCACGUCGCGAGAACGGAUCCGACAGUGAGGGACGAAAGCUAGGGUCUCGAACCGGAUUAGAUACCCGGGUAGUCCUAGCCGUAAACAAUGCCUGCUAGGUGUGGCUCCCACUACGAGUGGGUGCUGUGCCGUAGGGAAGCCGCUAAGCAGGCCGCCUGGGAAGUACGUCCGCAAGGAUGAAACUUAAAGGAAUUGGCG